GCCUGGUUUGUAAUUUUUAAAGACAGGGUAGGGCACUAAGUGGGAGACAGUUAGAUACAAAUUGGAAGUGGUGAGGGCAUGUGCCAUAUGGAUGUCUGGGGAAGAAGCUCUGCAGAGGCCCUGAGAUGGGUGUGUGCCUGUGGUGCUACUUGUUGAUGGCAUAGGGUGGCUCCGAUGUUACUGAAAAUCAUACCCAAAGAAGAUGAUCCAUUUCGCUAGUACUGAUUGAUCAAUAAAGGAUUCUUUAUACCUUAGGGUUAAAUUACUUGUUUGUUGAAACCUCUGCAGCUAAAGGCUCCCUCUUUGGAAAAUGUUAGUUAUUUGAGGGCCUGAA
rnacentral:lncRNA from 10 species